UGAGUUUGAUCAUGGCUUAGAUUGAACGCUGGCGGCAGGCUUAACACAUGCAAGUCGAGCGGAGAGAGGUAGCUUGCUACUGAUCUUAGCGGCGGACGGGUGAGUAAUGCUUAGGAAUCUGCCUAUUAGUGGGGGACAACAUUUCGAAAGGAAUGCUAAUACCGCAUACGUCCUACGGGAGAAAGCAGGGGAUCUUCGGACCUUGCGCUAAUAGAUGAGCCUAAGUCGGAUUAGCUAGUUGGUGGGGUAAAGGCCUACCAAGGCGACGAUCUGUAGCGGGUCUGAGAGGAUGAUCCGCCACACUGGGACUGAGACACGGCCCAGACUCCGACGGGAGGCAGCAGUGGGGAAUAUUGGACAAUGGGCGCAAGCCUGAUCCAGCCAUGCCGCGUGUGUGAAGAAGGCCUUAUGGUUGUAAAGCACUUUAAGCGAGGAGGAGGCUACUUUAGUUAAUACCUAGAGAUAGUGGACGUUACUCGCAGAAUAAGCACCGGCUAACUCUGUGCCAGCAGCCGCGGUAAUACAGAGGGUGCAAGCGUUAAUCGGAUUUACUGGGCGUAAAGCGCGCGUAGGCGGCUAAUUAAGUCAAAUGUGAAAUCCCCGAGCUUAACUUGGGAAUUGCAUUCGAUACUGGUUAGCUAGAGUGUGGGAGAGGAUGGUAGAAUUCCAGGUGUAGCGGUGAAAUGCGUAGAGAUCUGGAGGAAUACCGAUGGCGAAGGCAGCCAUCUGGCCUAACACUGACGCUGAGGUGCGAAAGCAUGGGGAGCAAACAGGAUUAGAUACCCUGGUAGUCCAUGCCGUAAACGAUGUCUACUAGCCGUUGGGGCCUUUGAGGCUUUAGUGGCGCAGCUAACGCGAUAAGUAGACCGCCUGGGGAGUACGGUCGCAAGACUAAAACUCAAAUGAAUUGACGGGGGCCCGCACAAGCGGUGGAGCAUGUGGUUUAAUUCGAUGCAACGCGAGGAACCUUACCUGGCCUUGACAUAGUAAGAACUUUCCAGAGAUGGAUUGGUGCCUUCGGGAACUUACAUACAGGUGCUGCAUGGCUGUCGUCAGCUCGUGUCGUGAGAUGUUGGGUUAAGUCCCGCAACGAGCGCAACCCUUUUCCUUAUUUGCCAGCGAGUAAUGUCGGGAACUUUAAGGAUACUGCCAGUGACAAACUGGAGGAAGGCGGGGACGACGUCAAGUCAUCAUGGCCCUUACGGCCAGGGCUACACACGUGCUACAAUGGUCGGUACAAAGGGUUGCUACCUAGCGAUAGGAUGCUAAUCUCAAAAAGCCGAUCGUAGUCCGGAUUGGAGUCUGCAACUCGACUCCAUGAAGUCGGAAUCGCUAGUAAUCGCGGAUCAGAAUGCCGCGGUGAAUACGUUCCCGGGCCUUGUACACACCGCCCGUCACACCAUGGGAGUUUGUUGCACCAGAAGUAGCUAGCCUAACUGCAAAGAGGGCGGUUACCACGGUGUGGCCGAUGACUGGGGUGAAGUCGUAACAAGGUAACC
rnacentral:rRNA from 1 species